rnacentral:lncRNA from 1 species
AUUUUUUAGGAUCCUUUUUUUCCUUAAAAUUUUUUCCUGAUUUUCGUUUAUCGAUAAGAGUAGUUUAGAGCAUUAUCCAUUACUAUUUUGUCAAUACCUGAGUCUCUAUUGUCCCCUUUUUAUUUUUUACUUUUUCAAAGUUAUUACCCAUAUAAAGAAUUUAUCACUUUCACAUUAAAUAGUCUAUUAUACACAUAUGUAUGUAUUUUUCAAU